GCGACGGUGACAUUGCGGUGUGCGGCCUCUCGGGCGAGAAGACUGGGCUUGCGUUGGAUGCAAGUUAUUGUCGUCCGGCAAGGUUUUAAAAAGUGAUGUUAUAGCCACUGGACAUUGAAGCGAUUGAAGACCAGAAAGCCUUAGUGCGACCGGCUUGAUUCAGAUUACUCCCCGAGAGCGACACUCGUUAAGGAUGCGAGUAUUUGAAGUUCCGCUUUCAAGCAUUGGACGGCCUGCAAAUUACCA